rnacentral:rRNA from 1 species
GAUUGUAAAGCACUUUAAGUUGGGAGGAAGGGCAGUAAGUUAAUACCUUGCUGUUUUGACGUUACCAACAGAAUAAGCACCGGCUAACUUCGUGCCAGCAGCCGCGGUAAUACGAAGGGUGCAAGCGUUAAUCGGAAUUACUGGGCGUAAAGCGCGCGUAGGUGGUUCAGCAAGUUGGAUGUGAAAUCCCCGGGCUCAACCUGGGAACUGCAUCCAAAACUACUGAGCUAGAGUACGGUAGAGGGUGGUGGAAUUUCCUGUGUAGCGGUGAAAUGCGUAGAUAUAGGAAGGAACACCAGUGG